rnacentral:lncRNA from 1 species
CUGACCCACUAAAACAGAUACUUUGGACCAGCCAAGCCAUCAGAGGGGUUCUCCAAGAUCAGAGCAGGUUUCAUUCAGAACUGAGAACACAGAACCUUCCUUUUAAGAGACAAGAGGUUUUUGACUCAGUUCCCCUUUGGGGCCUAGGUGCAGCCAUCUGCAAAAGGUUUCUUCCAGAGUAACCUGGAGGGAGAUGCUUAUGAGAACACAUUUUUGCAAAUUUUCAGCCCGUCCCGGUACGACCACCAGCCUCUAAGAAUAGUCAGUUGAGACCCACAGAGGCAACUCCUUCAGUGGCUGGCCCUGGUCUCCUCAGACCGUCUCCCGUCUCUUUGCCCUGGGGGUUCUCCGUGCCCUUUGCUGGCUGUAGGUACUUACCCCCUGUCUUCUGCAGGAAUGAGGAGCACAAUAAGAAGCCGGGCACACCAGGCACACCAGGCUCCCAUGACCUGGAGACGGCACUUAGGCGGCUAUCCCUGCGCCGAGAGAACUACCUAUCUGAGCGGAGGUUCUUCGAGGAGGAGCAGGAGAGGAAGCUGCGAGAGCUGGCUGAGAAGGGAGAGCUGCACAGUGGCUCGCUCACGCCCACCGAGAGCAUCAUGUCCCUGGGCACACACUCACGCUUCUCCGAGUUCACGGGCUUCUCCGGCAUGUCCUUCAGCAGCCGCUCCUACCUGCCCGAGAAGCUGCAGAUCGUGAAGCCACUCGAAGGUGACCACCAGGGGCCUCGGCCCCUCUCUGUCCUCCUCUGCGACUCUCUCUGGGCCCUGAUCCACCACA